UCGUUUAUGCCUUCGCCUUUUUCUUUUUAAUUUUCGAAAUUGCCCUUGCUUUUACUGACUCAGUCUUUCUUUUCCCCUUUUUCUGCUCCAACAUUCAUUUCUGCCAUUACCUUUCUCUCUCCUUUGAACCGAACUUUCUCACUCCAUACCUUUCCUUUAUCUCAUUAUGCUCCAUUGAAGGAACUUCUAUGCUUUCCCCUCCAUUAUUGAAGCAGCUUGCGAGAUGAACUCUCUGUGGAAGCGCCUUCUAAGCUUGAUCCUCCAUUGAAUUAAAGUUGCAUAUGAGAAUUUAGUGAUGGUGGAGAUGAUCGGGGAGAGGGUAGAAGAUAUUUGAAUGGUGGGAGAAAGGUGGUGGUGGUAGCGGAUCGGGGUGUUCAUAUCCGGGUACCCAGAUCUUCGAGUAGUUGAUAAGUCGUCCCGUGUCCCAUCCCGGAUAAUUCGGGUACCAUGACGGGACACAGGUAUCCAAAACUUUUUAUAUUUAUUUUUUUAAUAAGUUUGUACCUAAAUUUUUUUUUUUACCAACUGUACCUAAAAUCUGGUACUGUUUGCUUUUUUCAUUUUUAAAAACCUGUUGUAUUGUUUGGUUUUAAGAAAAUCUGUUGUAUUAUAACCAAAAAAAAACCUGCUGUAUUUAAAAAAAAUAAUAAAAAAAAAGCCCUGCUGUUUUUUUAAUAAAAACAACCUCAGCUCAUGUAUUGUUUUUUAAAAAAAACCUUGCUGUAAUGCCUAUAUUUAUAGCCUGCAAAAUACUUGCAAUUUUUUUAAUUUGAUGACAUACUAAUUAAUAACUUAAAGCUAUAAACUAAGAAUCAAAGUUUAUUAAAAAUAAAUAAAUAAAUAAAUUCAAAACUAGAGUUUAAGGACGAGAAUACAGAGUUUUUGAGUCUUUAGUUACAUAACUUCAUAACAUACAAAGAACAAAUAAUGGGAUAAAGCCACACAACAAACAAAGUGUGAGGGGAUCAAUUUAUUCACUUGUGAGAUCCGAUAUUUUAAUUGUCUCAUCAAUAACAAUCGUCGGUUGAUCCAAAACACAGUCUUUCAUUCCUACAAAACACAAAUAAUGCAAUACAAUAAUUACAUAUCACAUAUAUUAUAUAUAGUAAAGUAGUAAAAUAAAUUAAUAUAUAAAGUUAUAAAAUCACCUUCUUCUUCCAUAUUUUCUAACUCAAGCAAGCUUUCCUCUAUAGUAAUAGGGACAUUGGAACUACGCAUCCAAUCUUAGCCACAAACAAGAGCUUCUACCAUUAUUGUUCUUAAAGAAGUGCGAAAGGAAUCUAGAACACGUCUUUCCGUGCUAAAAGCGGACUCCGAAGCAACGGAAGAAACCGGAAUAGCGAGAAAAUCACGAGCCAUAGACAUAAGUAUUCGAUAUGUUUUUCCGUGUGCACUCCACCAUGCCAAAAUAUCAAAAUCCUCGUCACUAGGCUCUAGUUUAUCCCCUAAAUAAUUCGGUCAUUCUUUUGGAAGAUGAAUCAUUCCCAAUCUUACUUGAAAAACUAUCCCUUAAUCGAGAUACAUUGUUAGGACCCUUUUUUGUUCUUUCCCACCCUUUUCACUCACUACUACAUUUUUGACCAAAUGCAACGGCAUAAUAAAGGCUAAUACAACGGAAUUAUAAUUGUCGUUGCAAUAGAGUAGGCUAUUGUCAAGGAUUUAAAACUAAUGUUCAUAGAGGUAGAGCUAUUGCCACGGAUCUAAAGAACCGUUGCAAUAGCCUAGUUAUUUUAACAAAAAUGAGAGCUAUUGCAACGGUAUGUAUUGUAUCAUGAAAAUUUUAGAAGCGCGCAUUUCUUCCCUCUAAUUUUUUCUCCAAAUAUUUUGAACAAAAUGUGUUUAUUCACAACCCUUCUUACGGAUUCUCAUAGUACCCAAUCUACCCAUUCUUCAUUUUCCCCAUUUUCCCCCAAUUCUCAAUUUUCCCCAUCUUCUCACAUUCACAUAUUUGCUUGAAAAUCACGAAAAAAAUCAUGAAAAUAAGCAAAUAAAUAUGAGGAAGUAGACGAAGGCGACAGUCAGGAGGUGGUGGCUGAUAGCGGUACAUAGUAUGUCGCUUCUUCCAAUCUUUCGUUCUUCGCUGCCUCACACCUCAGUCCUCACCGGCCUCCUGUAGUCCAGUAGAUCGACCGUUGCCCAUGAUCUGUCGUGCCUCAGUGCCUCACAGGAACUCGGCCGUCGUUGUUGCCACACCGUCGGCCGUCUUCGAUGCAUCAAUGUCUUCUUCUCCUUUCAACCUUUUAUCUCUUUCCUCCUAAUCUUCACAAAAAUCAGGAGGAACAUUGUAAUUUAACCACUGGAGAUGGCCCACGAGAUUUUUCAGGGUAGCCUGUCCUCAAGAGCAAAACUGGAAAUUGGAAAGCCUGCAUCUUCAUUCUUGAUCCUAGCUUUAGGAUUGGUUGUCUGGGAAAAGUGAAUAUGGCAUACGAGAAUGACCGGGACUCUAUGAUUUGCUUCUAUGGAUUUGUGGCUAAUGUAGGUGAAAUAAACAAUAGCAGAAACAACAGCUGGCAGAAACAGCAGCAAACAUAACCAGCAGCAAGUACCUACAGGCCAAAACCAGCAAGCCACGCCAGCAACACCUCAACAGCAUUCCAGCAAUACAGCACCGGUAAUACAGGAACAUCAAGCAGCAACAGAUAUCAGUAGCAACAGGCUGGAGAAAGCAGGCUGUGGCAGAACCAGCAGAUAAACAAGGAGCAGCUGACUAGCUGAAGACCAGCAAUGCCACUGCAAAAGAAUCCAGUAUCAACAACCAGCACCAGUACACCAGUGGUAGCACCUGCAACCAGCAGCAGGCUGGACAAAACCAGAACAGCCCCAACAGCAGCUUGCACACAGAGAGCUGCAAAGCCGAAGCAAGCAAAUACUUUGAAUUCAUACUAAUAAAAUUCUAAUUUAAUUUUGUAAUUUUCCUUAUAGGUAACAAUGUACAAACUUUGAAUUCAUUUUAAUA